UACGUAGGGUGCAAGCGUUAAUCGGAAUUACUGGGCGUAAAGCGUGCGCAGGCGGUCCGUUAAGACAGAUGUGAAAUCCCCGGGCUUAACCUGGGAACUGCAUUGGUGACUGGCAGGCUUUGAGUGUGGCAGAGGGAGGUAGAAUUCCACGUGUAAGCAGUGAAAUGCGUAGAGAUGUGGAGGAAUACCGAUGGCGAAGGCAGCCUCCUGGGCCAAACACUGACGCUCAUGCACGAAAGCGUGGGGAGCAAACAGG
rnacentral:rRNA from 1 species